GGACGAUGAAGGAAACAUCUGUGCUGUGUCUGUUCUUCUAUUCACUGACAUCUUAAUCCUGUGUUCUCCUGAGCUUGAACCUGAACAUCAGACCAACCAUUGACUGCAGGAGACAUGAGCCUCAGACCAGCUCACCAUCACUAUCUUCAUCAUCAUCAUCAUCAUCAUCACCAUCAGCCCAGAGCACUACCACAGCUGAGUCUGGACAGGACGUAGUUCUACCAUGUCGAGUAUCACCAGACAAAACCAUCAGAGCUGUGAAGUGGAGCAGAGCUGACCUGGGGAAGGAAUAUGUGCUUCUGUUCCGGGAUGAGCAGCUGGAUCUAGAAGAGCAGCAUCCAUCUUUUAAGAACCGGGUGGAUCUGCAGGACAGACAGAUGAAGGAUGGAGACGUAUCUUUGAUUCUGAAGAAUGUGACGACUGCUGAUGAUGGAUCAUACAAUUGUAAAAUAUUCAACGGAGGGACAAAAUCAUGGGAGAUCAUCAACACUGUCAGCCUGACUGUUUCAGCUCAGACAGCAGAACACACAGUUGCACCUGUUGGACUCAUCGCUGGUCUGAGUGUUCCUGCUGUGCUUCUUGUUGCUGCUGUUGUUGGUUUUGUGAUCUACAGAAAACAUAAACAACAGAA